rnacentral:pre_miRNA from 1 species
AAACAGCCUCCUAUGUUUUGAUUCUUUGGCAAUUUUGGACCCCCAGUCCAUUGUUGACUCGGUCAACGCUGACGUGGCACCCUAAGUGAGGUGCCACGUGUCAAUUUUUUUUUUUUUUUUUUGUCUUGGGGGUCCAAAACUGCCAAAGAAUCAAAACAUAUGGGGCUGUUU